rnacentral:rRNA from 1 species
CCUACGGGAGGCAGCAGUGGGGAAUAUUGGGCAAUGGGCGCAAGCCUGACCCAGCAACGCCGCGUGAAGGAAGAAGGCUUUCGGCUUGUAAACUUCUUUUGUCAGGGACGAAGCAAGUGACGGUACCUGACGAAUAAGCCACGGCUAACUACGUGCCAGCAGCCGCGGUAAUACGUAGGUGGCAAGCGUUAUCCGGAUUUACUGGGUGUAAAGGGCGUGUAGGCGGGACUGUAAGUCAGAUGUGAAAACCAUGGGCUUAACCUGUGGCUUGCAUUUGAAACUAUAGUUCUUGAGUACUGGUGAGGCAGACGGAAUUCCUAGUGUAGCGGUGAAAUGCGUAGAUAUUAGGAGGAACACCAGUGGCGAAGGCGGUCUGCUGGACAGCAACUGACGCUGAGGCGCGAAAGCGUGGGGAGCAAACAGGAUUAGAUACCCCAGUAGUC